CUUUUAUCACCAUCAGGAACAGCUUUCCAGGGGAUGACACCGCCAUCUGGCCAUAGCCUGUAUAUCAUCCUGAUCUCUCCCCCGCCUUCCGCAUGUCUCACAUCCAGCUGCUACUAAAUCAUGUCAGCUCUGCCCCAUGCAUACUGCCUGUCCUCCUCCUUCCCCAAGGCCACCAUACCGGCACUUGUGCCUUCUGAGACCUGCCUUCCAGAGGAGUGCACAUGCCAGGAGUGUUCAGUGGGCACAAGUGGUUUUAUUGUUUCUGCCCGGAAGAGGAAGCCCUGGCAGCAGCAGGGACACAGAGAGGACACGG
rnacentral:lncRNA from 10 species